rnacentral:rRNA from 1 species
GUGCCAGCCGCCGCGGUAAUACGAAGGGGGCUAGCGUUGCUCGGAAUCACUGGGCGUAAAGCGCACGUAGGCGGCUUUCUAAGUCAGGGGUGAAAUCCUGGAGCUCAACUCCAGAACUGCCUUUGAUACUGGGAAGCUCGAGUCCGGAAGAGGUGAGUGGAACUCCGAGUGUAGAGGUGAAAUUCGUAGAUAUUCGGAAGGACACCAGUGGCGAAGGCGGCUCACUGGUCCGGUACUGACGCUGAGGUGAGAAAGCGUGGGGAGCAAACAGGAUUAGAAACCCCCGUAGUCC